UUAUUUUUUUCCCCUCCUGCCUUUAGGUUUUCUGGGGACAACAUUUCAUAAAACAAAAGAAAUAAAAUUGGUCUGGCCUUAUUUGAUACUGAAAUAUUGUUUACAAGAUGUUUGUUGAUUAAAUUCAUAUCAUAUCCAAGAAGGGAAAAAAAGACAUAUUUUUAUUUUUCAAAGCAUCUUACAUGUUAGGGAGUCUGGUAUAUUAUAUUCAAGAUAACAAGAAUUUAGUGCAAACUAAAUGAAAACUAUGAAAAUACCUUACCAUCCGAAAAUACUUUUAUUGCGCAAAUUUCCUGGUACGUUGGUGUUACCUUGCGUUAUCCUUCGGGAAAUGGCUAACGAAGGGAAGCUAAUUUCAGAAAGUGCUCAUUACUAUCCCUGAAAUAUAAUUGAUGCAAGAUCAUGUCAUUUGCUGUACAGUUUUGUACUUGUAAUCGGAAAGUGUGUGUACGCGUACAAGAGAUGACAUGUGUCAAAUGUGAUGUGUCACAUGUCAUGUUCGAAUGAGAUACAUUAGAUGGAUGUAUCCUGUGUGGUGAUGAAAGAUGUAUCAUGCGAUGAUGAGAGAUGUGUCACGCGAUGAUGAGAUAUGUGUCACAUGAUGAUGCUAUUCAAACGUAAGUGAACGUGUUGAGCAGCAUGUGAAAGACUCUCAGAAGUGUUGCCAGCUUUAAAUCUUCUAGCAAGUUUCAAAUUUAACCAGCCUUGAUAGACAACAUUUUAUUUUUUUCAGAAAUUUCAGAAAGUAAGCUGGAAGGGAAACACUAAUUUUUGCAACCUCAAUUUAUUAUGGAUAUUUAUUUGAUUUAUUAAUAUUUUUAAUGUCGCAAUAAUCUACAGAAAUGUUUCUGUUUUAUUUUGAUCAACUAAGAGGUUAGCAUACAAAAAUUACAAAGUCAGACUACAGAAAUUUCAUUAUCUUUAGUUAAACUAAAAUAUUGCUGGAGAUUGGCUGGUGAGCAGGUUACUAUUUCGCAUGCUGGCAUUAGGACAAGACUGGGUGUGUGGCUGUUGAUGUAGAUGAAAGCCAGGAGAGAUAUCUUGGACCAAUGUGAAUGUUUAUUUUUGUGCAGAGAAACAUAGUCAACUCGAACACAACUUUAAACAUCUUAACGGUCUUAGCGCUGUGACAGACUUAUGGAAGUUAUAGGGCUAAGAUCGUGAGUUGAUGGUAAUAUCCAGAAUUUACUAAAUAUUACAAUUCUCAACAUAUCCAGAUUGUAGCUGUGUUUUUAUAUGAACACCACAUGCAUGAAUUAAAUUUAUGUUUUCAAACAUGAUUGUGUUUUAAGACAUUGCAUUAUCAGUUGGCAAAUGACCAACAUUUUGAUUUGGCAAGCUUUGAUAUUUGCUUAAAUUUUGUUUAAUUUAAAUAAGGUAGAAAGUUUUCAUUUGUUUAUUUUAUUUGACAUUUUGUUACUGGCUGAGUUGUCUGAUCGUGUUACAUGUAUGUCCUAUUUGUCUUGCACGUCUUUGCUGGGAUACUGUCUGAGGUGAAGGUCGGCGUGAAGCUUGUUGCUGAUGUCGUCCCUGUGUCUGUAUAGGGCAUUGUGUUGUACAUAGCUGUACAAUCAUCUCUGUGAUAAGCUUUUAACAGAAAAAAAUAAAAGUGUUGAAAUACUCA